rnacentral:rRNA from 1 species
CCUACGGGAGGCAGCAGUGAGGAAUAUUGGUCAAUGGACGAGAGUCUGAACCAGCCAAGUAGCGUGAAGGAUGACUGCCCUAUGGGUUGUAAACUUCUUUUAUAUGGGAAUAAAAUGUUCCACGUGUGGGAUUUUGUCUGUACCAGAUGAAUAAGGAUCGGCUAACUCCGUGCCAGCAGCCGCGGUAAUACGGUGGAUCCGAGCGUUAUCCGGAUUUAUUGGGUUUAAAGGGAGAGUAGGUGGAUUGUUAAGUCAGUUGUGAAAGUUUGCGGCUCAACCGUAAAAUUGCAGUUGAAACUGGGAGUCUUGAGUACAGUAGAGGUAGGCGGAAUUCGUGGUGUAGCGGUGAAAUGCUUAGAUAUCACGAAGAACUCCGAUUGCGAAGGCAGCUCACUGGACUGCAACUGACACUGAGGCUCGAAAGUGUGGGUAUCAAACAGGAUUAGAUACCCGUGUAGUC